rnacentral:rRNA from 1 species
AUUAGCUAGUUGGUGAGAUAACAGCCCACCAAGGCAAGGAUGCGUAGCCGACCUGAGAGGGUGAUCGGCCACAAUGGAACUGAGAAACGGUCCAUACUCCUACGGGAGGCAGCAGUAGGGAGUUUUCGGCAAUGGGGGAAACCCUGACCGAGCAACGCCGCGUGAGUGAUGAAGGUCUUCGGAUUGUAAAGCUCUGUUGUAGGGGACGAAUGGUAUAGAGAGGAAAUGCUCUGUACUUGACGGUACCUUACCAGAAAGCCACGGCUAACUACGUGCCAGCAGCCGCGGUAAUACGUAGGUGGCAAGCGUUAUCCGGAAUUAUUGGGCGUAAAGAGUGAGCAGGCGGCUGUUUAAGUCUGAAGUCAAAUCUAGGGGCUCAACCCCUAAUCGCUUUGGAAACUGGACAGCUAGAGUACGAGAGAGGUAUGUGGAAUUCCAUGUGUAGCGGUGAAAUGCGUAGAUAUAUGGAGGAACACCAGUGGCGAAGGCGGCAUACUAGCUCGAUACUGACGCUCAUUCACGAAAGCGUGGGUAGCAAAUAGGAUUAGAUACCCUAGUAGUCCACGCCGUAAAC